AUGAAAACGUUAACCGUGCUGAUUCAAGAGACAUUGAGGCUUUAUUCACCAGCAGUAUUUGUUACCAGAACAGAUUUACAAGAUGUUAAUAUAAAAGCAUUUGGCCAUGUUAGAAUUGAAGGUGAUUUUGUCUCUCAUUCUGUCCAAGUUUCGGUUGUCUCUUUCAUCAAGUUACUGUCAUUCGCCGGCGUUUUGUUUGGUUAUGAACCUGGUCAGGGAGUUGUUCUCAACGUGACAAAAAUUUAA